rnacentral:rRNA from 1 species
UACGUAGGGUGCAAGCGUUGUCCGGAAUUAUUGGGCGUAAAGAGCUCGUAGGCGGCUUGUCACGUCGGAUGUGAAAGCCCGAGGCUUAACCUCGGGUCUGCAUUCGAUACGGGCUAGCUAGAGUGUGGUAGGGGAGAUCGGAAUUCCUGGUGUAGCGGUGAAAUGCGCAGAUAUCAGGAGGAACACCAGUGGCGAAGGCGAGUCUCUGGACAUUUCCUGACGCUGAGGCACGAAAGCCAGGGGAGCAAACGGG